UACUCGGCCCGAUUUAUGAUU
rnacentral:piRNA from 1 species